AUGAAAAUCUUGGCCUGGAACUGCCGGGGACUGGGGCGGCCUCGGACAGUUCAGGAGUUGACACGCCUUGUGCGUGCUCACUGCCCGGAGUUUGUGUUCCUCUCCGAAACUAGGCAAGGUAAGUCUUUUAUGGAGGGUGUGCAUACAAUUGGCUUCAGGCACAGUAUCAUUGUCUCUGUGAAAGGGAAGGGGGGAGGCCUUGCCCUCUUCUGGGAUGAUUCCGUAGAUGUCGAGUUAAUAAACUACGGAGUCCAUCAUGUCGAUGUAAAAGUUUCUGUUGCUGGUGAAAUAAAAUGGAGAGGAACCUUUGUUUACGGUGAGCCCAGGUCCCAGGACCGACAUUGUAUGUGGGAUCUGUUGAGACGCAUCAAACCAAAGGCUAUUGAACCUUGGCUCAUGAUCGGCGAUUUUAACGAGGCCAUGUGGCAAAGCGAACAUAUCUCUAGAAAGAAAAGGAGUGAACCCCUGAUGAAAGCUUUCAGGGAAGUUUUAUCUAAAUGUAAUUUGCAUGACCUUAGGUUUAAAGGAGUGGGCUGGACGUAUAAUAACAAUCAAUUAGGGGAUAAAAAUGUUCGAGUGCGGUGGAUAGAGCUCUCGCUUCGCCUGAAUGGCAGGACACUUUCUCUGAUGCGUGCGUCAAACAUCUUGUGUCGCCGAGAUCCGACCACUGUCCUCUUUUACUCUUCCUAG
rnacentral:rRNA from 1 species